rnacentral:rRNA from 1 species
AGUGGCGGACGGGUGAGUAACACGUAAGAAUUUGCCUCUAGGAGGGGGACAACAGCUGGAAACGGCUGCUAAUACCCCAUAUGCUUUCGAGUGAAAUGAAAUUUUUCGCCUAGAGAGAAGCUUGCGGCUGAUUAGCUUGUUGGUAAGGUAAUGGCUUACCAAGGCGACGAUCAGUAUCUGGUUUGAGAGGACGAUCAGACACACUGGAACUGAGACACGGUCCAGACUCCUACGGGAGGCAGCAGUGGGGAAUUUUCCGCAAUGGGCGAAAGCCUGACGGAGCAAUCUCGCGUGAGGGAUGACUGCCUAUGGGUUGUAAACCUCUUUUUUCAGGGAGGAAUCAAUGACGUGUACCUGAAGAAUAAGCAUCGGCUAACACCGUGCCAGCAGCCGCGGUAAGACGGAGGAUGCAAGUGUUAUCCGGAAUCACUGGGCGUAAAGCGUCUGUAGGUGGUUUACUAAGUCAACUGUUAAAUCUUGAAGCUCAACUUCAAAAUCGCAGUCGAAACUAGUAGACUAGAGUAUAGUAGGGGUAAAGGGAAUUUCCAGUGGAGCGGUGAAAUGCGUAGAGAUUGGAAAGAACACCGAUGGCGAAGGCACUUUACUGGGCUAUUACUGACACUCAGAGACGAAAGCUAGGGUAGCAAAUGGGAUUAGAUACCCCAGUAGUCCUAGCCGUAAACAAUGGAUACUAGAUGUU